AACGAACGCUGGCGGCAGGCCUAACACAUGCAAGUCGAACGCCCCGCAAGGGGAGUGGCAGACGGGUGAGUAACACGUGGGAACCUUCCCUAUACUACGGAAUAGCCCAGGGAAACUUGGAGUAAUACCGUAUUCGCCCGUGAGGGGAAAGAUUUAUCGGUAUAGGAUGGGCCCGCGUAGGAUUAGCUAGUUGGUGAGGUAAUGUCUCACCAAGGCGACGAUCCUUAGCUGAUCUGAGAGGACGACCAGCCACACUGGGACUGAGACACGGCCCAGACUCCUACGGGAGGCAGCAGUGGGGAAUAUUGGACAAUGGGCGCAAGCCUGAUCCAGCCAUGCCGCGUGAGUGAUGAAGGCCUUAGGGUUGUAAAGCUCUUUUGCCGGGGACGAUAAUGACGGUACCCGGAGAAUAAGUCCCGGCUAACUUCGUGCCAGCAGCCGCAGUAAAAC
rnacentral:rRNA from 1 species